rfam:Ornithorhynchus anatinus chromosome 3, whole genome shotgun sequence.
UCCCUCUCAGGAUCACACCUGGAGAACUUCCAGUACUCUACCAGUCCCGACUACAGGAGGGAGAGUCAAGCAAAGGCCUAUCCAAUCCAUUCCUAGCUUGGGCAGUGGCUAGCAAGUGGAAGGCACUCUGCUACAAAU